CAAUUAGGAUCAAACUCUACAGAAGAAACAGAAAUUAAUUGCGAUUAAAAUAGUUAAGAAUAUUUUUUUAUCCAAUAAAAUAAGGAAUUUGGUGACGCCUCUUUUAUUUUAUUUGUUGUCUAUUGUUGAAGAGAGAAACCAUUUCAGGGUUUAGCAGGGUUUAGGUUUCAGCCAGAGAGUAUCGGAUCCGUCGCGAGGUAUUUGAAUGUAAAAUCGGUUCAAAAAUUAGUCUUCUUUGGCGUUGAUUGAUAUAUAUGGUGGGUUUCUGUUUUCGCUAGGGUUUUGAGAUUUCUGGCGGAGAUUAGACUGCUGCUAGUGUUCUUCCGCAUUGAUUUCUAGGGUGGAUUGAUAGAGGGUUUUGGGAUUUUGCGCAAGGAUCUUCAAAAGGGUUUAGCUCUCAGUGAUGGAUAUCAUAAGUGAAUUGCCCGAUGCACUGCUCUUGAAGAUAUUGUCUUUUCUGCCUGCGAGACAAGUUGUGGCCACAAUGGUUUUGUCCAAACGAUGGCAACCGCUUUGGAUGAUGGUGCCUAAACUCAGAUAUGAUGAUGCUAGCGCUGGAAGUUUUCCUCGUUUUGUGGACAGGUCUUUGCUUUUGCAUGAGGCCCCGGUUAUAGAGACUUUGCAUUUCAAACUUGGUCAAAACUCUGGUGCUGUUGAUAUCGGAGUAUGGACCAGAACUGCACUUAAACGCUGUGUGCGUAAGCUGAUUAUCAAGAUGGACCCUUCUUAUACUACAGCUCUAGUCAUACUUCCAAGGAGUUUGUACACGGGGUGUAGCAUGCUUGUCAAAUUGAAUGUAGAUAAAGUGGUUUUUUUGGAUGUCACUUCUCCAAUCUCCUUCCCAUCUCUCAAGAAGUUGAGCCUGAAAUAUGUGAUAUACCCAGGUAACGAGUUUGUUCAGAGGCUUUUAUCGGAUUGUCCUGUUCUUGAAAGCUUGGUUGUGAAACCAAUUCAAGGUCACAAUGUGACCAGUUUCACCAUAAAAGUCCCUUCUCUCAAGAGUUUAGUCUUGCGUAAAUAUGAAGCUUCAGAUAUUGCAGCUGGGUUUGUGAUAGAAGCUCCAUCUUUAGAGAGCUUUGAAAUUUAUGAUAUUAAUGAGGGUAGUUUUUGUGUUAUUGAGAGUCAUAUGCCUAAUGUUGUAGAGGCAAAUAUUGAGGUCAGUCAAGCGUCUCACUUUACGUGGUAUAACUUACUCAACGGUAAUAUCUACUUAACUAUAUAUUACAUGCAUACUUGGUUUUGUUUUCCGAAUCAGUUAUUGAAGAACGACUUUGCAUUGCAGUGCCAGUAUGCAUUACCUGUUGGUACAGUCUUCAGCUCUCUUGUGUAUUUAGAGAUAUUGACAUAUAAUGAAGCAGAGUGGUUGACUCUACUUAUGCGUGUUCUCAAAGAUUCCCCUAAUUUACGAGCUCUCAAACUUGUACAGCUUCAUUAUGAAGAUGAUGAUGAUCGCCCGUGCUGGAGUGAACCGAGUUCAGUCCCUGAAUGUGUAAAAUGGAGUCUCGAAACUCUUGAAUGGACGGGUUAUGAUGGAGCAGAAGAAUUGAAAGAAGUAAUAGCAUUUAUCUUAAGAAACGCAAACCGUCUAAAGAGGGCAACUUAUCCACAAUAGUAGUGAAUACCACAUUAGUGAAAAAUCAACCGACCCCAACAAGAAACUCGAGAUGCGUAAGGAGUUGUCGUCGUUACCCAGGUGUUCACCUACCUGUCAGCUUGCAUUCGACUAAAGGUUAUGGUCUGGCCUUAGUAAUCUCUGGUUGGAGAGUGUUUGAUCCAGACUUUAUUUAUGUUGGAAGCUUAUACUCAGCCCUUUGAAUUUCUUAUCUUUUUUGCUCUGUCUUAGUUUAUUUAUUUUCUUCAAUUUGGUAAUGUUUUGAGGUUUGACUUGACUCUUCAACAAACUGGGCGUUGUUAUGUUGGUUUGGUUCUGGAUUGUAAUUUGGCUGGUUUAAAAAGUUCUGGAUUGUAAUUUGGCUAGACUGGUUCAGUCUUCACUGUAAAAUCAAACCCAAAUGUGUAAAGAAGUAAUUGGAGCGUUUGUUUUAUUCUUCAACUCUUAGGCUUUUUAAAGGUUGGACCUACUGUAGAAAUAAGUUGGGCUCUAAAUAAAGCCCAUAUUCUAUUAAACAUUCUAAACACAAUAGUUAAGUAACCGGUGUCGUUUUACUUAGUUCCAUCGGUUGCCCUAAAUCUCUCUCCAUGAGUACAUAUAAACUUGCGUUUUCUCUCUUCCGUUACCUCCAUAUCAGAUUUUAGGGUUUAGUGUUACAGCGACUGAGAAAUCUUUGUUUGUGUUGGUGUUUUCUUGUAAGAGGUCAUCUAACAAAGCAAGAUAGGUUUUAAUUUAUACCAAUUUUGUGUCGGAAGAUGACGACAUUAGUUUAUAGACCUCCAUGGCAAUAUCUUCAUGGAACUCUUCUCUUCCAUGGAGUUGCUCUACGGAGGUCACACUUCCACAUUUGUCUAUAUUUUAUCUAUGUCCGAAUCAAGCUCGCUGAUCUUAUAUUAACCAUUGGAUUCAAUUUCUUGUUGUAGUCAACAUUCUUGAAACUCUGAGCUACUCUGUUUUCUUGGUGUCUGAGAUUCCAAUUAUGAAGUCAUCCUUAAAGCAAAUAGGUGAUAGCCUCUGUGCCAAUUUUGUGUCGGAAGAUGACAAGAUUGAUUUUUUUGCCUCUCCAUGACAAUUUUGCUUCAUGGAAAUCUUCUCUUCCAUGAAGUAGAUCUAUGGAGAGGCACAUUAAUGUGCAGCUUAUAAAUGUGUUUGUGUCUGAUCAUUUUCUUAAUGAGUUUCUGCUUUUAUUAUUGUGAGAACAUUAUUUCAGAAGCCUAAAGAAAAAUUUUUGUUUGGAACAAGACAAACCAUUGUCUAGUGUUGAUACAGAGCAGUAGCAAGAGAAAGGGGUUAAAUCAUUAUUCAAAGAGAGUCUUAUUGAAGAUGAAUCUGUAAAUUCUCUUUUUUUAAGUAUAGAAGUCAGACCCUGGUAUUAUCUCUGAUACAUUGGCUUUGUAAUAUGGAACGAGUAAGGUGAAUAAAUGAGUCUGAAUGCCAUAAAAUAUUUUCCUCAA